rnacentral:rRNA from 1 species
GGGUGAGUAACACGUGGAUACCCUACCUAUAAGACUGGGAUAACUUCGGGAAACCGGAGCUAAUACCGGAUAAUAUUUUGAACCGCAUGGUUCAAAAGUGAAAGACGGUCUUGCUGUCACUUAUAGAUGGAUCCGCGCUGCAUUAGCUAGUUGGUAAGGUAACGGCUUACCAAGGCAACGAUGCAUAGCCGACCUGAGAGGGUGAUCGGCCACACUGGAACUGAGACACGGUCCAG